UGGGGAAUAUUGGACAAUGGGGGGAACCCAGAUCCAGCCAUGCCGCGUGUGUGAAGAAGGCCUUAUGGUUGUAAAGCACUUUAAGCGAGGAGGAGGCUCUCUUGGUUAAUACCCAAGAAGAGUGGACGUUACUCGCAGAAUAAGCACCGGCUAACUCUGUGCCAGCAGCCGCGGUAAUACAUAGGGUGCGAGCGUUAAUCGGCUUUACUGGGCGUAACGCGUGCGUAGGCUGCUUUUUAAGUCGGAUGUGAUAUCCCCGAGCUUAACUUGUGAAUUGCAUUCGAUACUGGGAAGCUAGAGUAUGGGCGCGGAUGGUAGAAUUCCAGGUGUAGCGGUGAAAUGCGUAGCGAUCUGGAGGAAUACCGAUGGCGAAGGCAGCCAUCUGGCCUAAUACUGACGCUGAGGUACGAAAGCAUGGGGAGCAAACAGG
rnacentral:rRNA from 1 species